rnacentral:rRNA from 1 species
AGAUGCAGGUUACCCGCGACAGGACGGAAAGACCCCGUGGAGCUUUACUGUAGCCUGAUAUUGAAAUUCGGCACAGCUUGUACAGGAUAGGUAGGAGCCUUUGAAACGUGAGCGCUAGCUUACGUGGAGGCGCUGGUGGGAUACUACCCUAGCUGUGUUGGCUUUCUAACCCGCACCACUUAUCGUGGUGGGAGACAGUGUCAGGCGGGCAGUUUGACUGGGGCGGUCGCCUCCUAAAAGGUAACGGAGGCGCUCAAAGGUUCCCUCAGAAUGGUUGGAAAUCAUUCAUAGAGUGUAAAGGCAUAAGGGAGCUUGACUGCGAGACCUACAAGUCGAGCAGGGUCGAAAGACGGACUUAGUGAUCCGGUGGUUCCGCAUGGA